GAGUAAUUGUUGCACUGCAUUUUUAAUUGAAACAAUUUACGUUGUAAAAUUUUAAAAAUAGACCAAGUAAAUUAAUUUGAUAAACGGCUGAGCUGACUAAGGAAACAAAUUAGCUAUAAUAAAACAUCAUUUAAAUUGAUGAAAAAUUCUACUUCAAAUAAUAAUAUUUAAAUUUUUUUAUUAAUUACAAACGUAAAAUAUAUUAUGUUGUAGUAUAGAUAAAAAGUUUU
rnacentral:misc_RNA from 1 species